rnacentral:misc_RNA from 1 species
GAUUAAACAGCAUUUAUCCUACUGAUUUAGUUCCAUUUACAAGAAGGCCUCUAUUUAUAGUUAUCGACAGUGAUGUCAGUGACGCAUUCAAGGCAAGUUUGUCAAUUCUUAGUCUUUGCUAUUACAUGAGUGCAAAAUUUUUUUGCUGUUUCUGAUGCUGGCUGAAGUUUGGUAAAAGCUAGCUAAAAAGCUUUUAUUUCUUCUCUCUUUUGGAGGCAUCUUAGUUUUGCUCUCCGCAUAUGCAUAGCCAUUUUGCCCCCAAAUUGUCCUUGUGUACUAGAUAGGAUAUUGGUUUCCAUUUGAAAAUGUUAACUAUCGUAUCCUCCACAAUAUUGUAAUCUUAAAUGUUUGCAGGCUAUA